rnacentral:rRNA from 1 species
CGGUAACAGGAAGCAGCUUGCUGCUUCGCUGACGAGUGGCGGACGGGUGAGUAAUGUCUGGGAAACUGCCUGAUGGAGGGGGAUAACUACUGGAAACGGUGGCUAAUACCGCAUAACGUCGCAAGACCAAAGAGGGGGACCUUCGGGCCUCUUGCCAUCAGAUGUGCCCAGAUGGGAUUAGCUUGUUGGUGAGGUAACGGCUCACCAAGGCGACGAUCCCUAGCUGGUCUGAGAGGAUGACCAGCCACACUGGAACUGAGACACGGUCCAGACUCCUACGGGAGGCAGCAGUGGGGAAUAUUGCACAAUGGGCGCAAGCCUGAUGCAGCCAUGCCGCGUGUAUGAAGAAGGCCUUC